rnacentral:rRNA from 1 species
UGAGGAAUAUUGGACAAUGGGGGAAACCCUGAUCCAGCAAUGCCGCGUGAAUGAAGAAGGCCCUUGGGUUGUAAAGUUCUUUCAUUUGUGAAGAUGAUGACGGUAACAAAAGAAGAAGCCCCGGCUAACUCCGUGCCAGCAGCCGCGGUAAUACGGAGGGGGCUAGCGUUAUUCGGAAUGACUGGGCGUAAAGGGUGCGUAGGCUGUUUUUAAAGUAAGGCGUGAAAUCCCUGAGCUUAACUCAGGAAGUGCGUUUUAAACUUAAAAACUAGAGUGCAGGAGAGGAGAGUAGAAUUCCUAGUGUAGAGGUGAAAUUCGUAGAUAUUAGGAAGAAUACCAGAGGCGAAGGCGACUCUCUGGCCUGCUACUGACGCUGAGGCACGAAAGCGUGGGGAUCAAACAGG